UCCUGGCUCAGGAUGAACGCUAGCGGCAGGCUUAACACAUGCAAGUCGAGGGGCAUCGGGAGUAGCAAUACUUGCCGGCGACCGGCGCAAGGGUGCGUAACGCGUGAGCAACAUGCCCGUAUCAGGGGGAUAAUCCAUGGAAACGUGGUCUAAUACCCCAUAGUAAUUAUGUAAGGCAUCUUAUAUAAUUUAAAGCUUUGGUGGAUACGGAUUGGCUCGCGUGACAUUAGCUAGAUGGUAAGGUAACGGCUUACCAUGGCUACGAUGUCUAGGGGUUCUGAGAGGAAGGUCCCCCACACUGGAACUGAGACACGGUCCAGACUCCUACGGGAGGCAGCAGUGAGGAAUAUUGGUCAAUGGGCGGAAGCCUGAACCAAGCCAUGCCGCGUGCAGGAUGACGGCCCUACGGGUUGUAAACUGCUUUUCCCCGGGAAGAAUAAGCCCCUCGUGAGGGGUGAUGCCGGUACCGGGGGAAUAAGGAUCGGCUAACUCCGUGCCAGCCGCCGC
rnacentral:rRNA from 1 species